rnacentral:rRNA from 1 species
GACGAACGCUGGCGGCGUGCUUAACACAUGCAAGUCGAACGGAAAGGCCCUGCUUUUGUGGGGUUCUCGAGUGGCGAACGGGUGAGUAACACGUGAGUAACCUGCCCUUGACUUUGGGAUAACUUCAGGAAACUGCGGCUAAUACCGGAUAGGAGCUCCUGCUGCAUGGUGGGGGUUGGAAAGUUUCGGCGGUUGGGGAUGGACUCGCUGCUUAUCAGCCUGUUGGUGUGGUAGUGGCUUUCCAAGGUUUUGAAGGGUAGCCGGCCUGAGAGGGCUACCGGCGACAAUGGGACUGAGGUACGGAGCAGAAUCGUAUGGGAGGCAGCAGGCGGGAAUAUUACGCAAUGGGCGGAAGCCUGAUGCAGCGACGCCGCGUGCGGAAUGACGGCUUACGGGUUGUAAACCGCUUUCGACUGUGACGAAGCGUGAGUGACGGUAAUGGGUAAGGAAGCACCGGCUAACUACGUG